GACGUAGGGGGCCAGCGUUGCUCGGAAUUACUGGGCGUAAAGGGUUCGUAGGCGGUGCGGUAAGUCGGAAGUGAAAUCUCUGGGCUUAACUCAGAGGCUGCUUUCGAAACUGCCGUGCUAGAGUGCGGGAGAGGCCAGUGGAAUUGCAGGUGUAGCGGUGAAAUGCGUAGAUAUCUGCAGGAACACCCGUGGCGAAGGCGGCUGGCGGGACCGCAACUGACGCUGAGGAACGAAAGCUAGGGGAGCAAACAGG
rnacentral:rRNA from 1 species